rnacentral:rRNA from 1 species
AUUGAACGCUGGCGGCAUGCCUUACACAUGCAAGUCGAACGGCAGCACGGGAGCAAUCCUGGUGGCGAGUGGCGAACGGGUGAGUAAUAUAUCGGAACGUGCCCAGUCGUGGGGGAUAACGUAGCGAAAGCUACGCUAAUACCGCAUACGAUCUAUGGAUGAAAGCGGGGGAUCGCAAGACCUCGCGCGAUUGGAGCGGCCGAUAUCAGAUUAGGUAGUUGGUGGGGUAAAAGCCUACCAAGCCUUCGAUCUGUAGCUGGUCUGAGAGGACGACCAGCCACACUGGAACUGAGACACGGUCCAGACUCCUACGGGAGGCAGCAGUGGGGAAUUUUGGACAAUGGGCGCAAGCCUGAUCCAGCAAUGCCGCGUGCAGGAUGAAGGCCUCGGGUUGUAAACUGCUUUUGUACGGAACGAAACGGCUCUUUCUAAUAAAGGAGCUAAUGACGGUACCGUAAGAA